rnacentral:rRNA from 1 species
UGCAGAGGGUGCGAGCGUCAAUCGGAAUUACUGGGCGUAAAGCGCGCGUAGGCGGCUUUGCAAGUCGGGUGUGAAAUCCCCAGGCUUAACCUGGGAACUGCAUUCGAGACUGCAUUGCUAGAGUAUGGGAGAGGGAAGUGGAAUUUCCGGUGUAGCGGUGAAAUGCGUAGAUAUCGGAAGGAACAUCAGUGGCGAAAGCGACUUCCUGGACCAAUACUGACGCUCAUGUGCGAAAGCGUGGGGAGCAAACAGG